rnacentral:lncRNA from 1 species
AUUUAGCAAGAAACAAAAAUGCAUUUGUGCAAUAUUCUGAUGAGCCACCAUCACCUUUCAUGCCACAACGGUCACAUGCAAAAGGGGUCUCUGAUCCUUUCAGGUUUUCUGGGGAGCUUGGGAGUGCAGAGCUAAAGAACAGGAAGGGGUUAAUUAGGCCAGGAAUGAAGGGAUAGGGAACAGAAGGUGCAGGAGGCGCAGGACAGGUUGUCCUUCAACAUCCCUCCUACACCACAGACCAGUCCUCAGGUCGAAUGUGUCAAAUAUUGGGGCUUCUACUCAAUCAGAAUACAGAGAGUGACUGUCUCAGGGAGCAACAACAGGUAUCCAGGACACACUUGCAGACUUGAUAUUUGAAGUUUGUGCUCAAAGUGGCUACACCUCAGCUUGUAGGCACUACCACCCUUCAGGCUCUCAGCAGGACAGGCUUCCUUCCUGUGUUCAGGCCAGGAUCAUGGGGUCAUCAUGCACAAGGCACCAAAUCAGACCAUCAUCUUUUCCCUCCUACCUGGUGCCCUUGCACUGACCUUAGCAGAGACCACACAGUAAUUGUAUCAUCAGUAGACAUUCUUCUCAAACAGAAGGUCUCAAGGACAUCUCAGAAGACAAUAGAGGGAAACACAUUCCCCAAGUGACCUUCCUCUACCACGUCCUAUACAGUGACAGGCAUGAGAGGGGCUUUCUGAAUGAUAUCCUUUAGUCUUAGGGGAAAGCACAUUCAGUGUGGUCCCAUGGUAAGGCAAAGGAAAUCCUGCUGGCUAAUCUCUUGGUGUGUUUUUUUAUUUCCUGUAGGUUUUUGGAAGACCAAUGUCAAAUUGUAAGCUUAGAAUCAGCUACACCUGACAAUCACAUUCUGUUCCAGAAACAGCAGGUUCCGACCCUCAGUCCUAGAUAAAAAUCCUAUCAUUUCUGAUAGCCACUUGUCAACUCAGGUGCUUGAGAAUGCAGCCAUAAAAUGCACCAAAUGACCUUCAAUCUGGAUCUCUGGUCUAAAUCUCUCUCCUGAGAUCCAUAUUCAGAUAUGUACCCUUGGCAUCCCAAACCUAAGGUGGUUAGAGCUGCACUUAUACCAGAAGGGGUUAAAGAGACUUCACAGAUGAGAAAGUCUUUAGACUGGGGCCUUGGAGGAGAAUAAGAAACAGAAAUAGGAAAAAGGAUGUAGAGAAAGUGGGAAUACAUUUGAAAUAAACUAGAUGGUAGAGUCAAUAAGCCCUGAAGAUGGGUUGAAUAUAGUAGUGGGGGAGGGAUAAU